rnacentral:rRNA from 1 species
UACGUAGGGUGCAAGCGUUAAUCGGAAUUACUGGGCGUAAAGCGUGCGCAGGCGGUUUUGUAAGUCUGAUGUGAAAUCCCCGGGCUCAACCUGGGAAUUGCAUUGGAGACUGCAAGGCUAGAAUCUGGCAGAGGGGGGUAGAAUUCCACGUGUAGCAGUGAAAUGCGUAGAGAUGUGGAGGAACACCGAUGGCGAAGGCAAUCCCCUGGGCCUGUACUGACGCUCAUGCACGAAAGCGUGGGGAGCAAACAGG